rnacentral:rRNA from 1 species
UACGUAGGGGGCAAGCGUUGUCCGGAAUCAUUGGGCGUAAAGCGCGUGUAGGCGGCUUGGUAAGUCUGGUGUGAAACCUCGGGGCUCAACCCCGAGCCUGCACUGGAUACUGCCUCGCUUGAGUCCGGGAGGGGAGAGCGGAAUUCCUAGUGUAGCGGUGAAAUGCGCAGAUAUUAGGAAGAACACCGGUGGCGAAGGCGGCUCUCUGGAACGGUACUGACGCUGAGACGCGAAAGCGUGGGGAGCAAACAGG